rnacentral:lncRNA from 1 species
UCUGAAGACUUACAGCCUUCCUGGGCUGCCAAGGUCCAAGGAUGCCCUCUUACCUUGUCUUUUAUCCUUUCUAGGAAGCAUCUAAAGGAAAACUGGAAACUGCAGUGGUACAUGAACAAUUCACAGGGCUACUGAAGCACAAAGCUGUUAAAAAUGUGAGUUCCCACUGGCAUUGUAGAAAAAUCCAUUUCACAUUUUUAAGGUGGGGUACAAUUUCCAAGGCACUGCCACAUGUUUGCUUUUGAUGCAUGAAGCCUAAGGAGCAGUCUCCUUUUCUGAUGUGAGAACAUGGACUUGCCAUUGGAAACCCUGGAUCUCAGUCAAAGGUGAGAGGAAUCAGGAAUUUCAGAGUCACUACAAUGC